rnacentral:rRNA from 1 species
UGGGGAAUUUUGGACAAUGGGCGAAAGCCUGAUCCAGCAAUGCCGCGUGUGUGAAGAAGGCCUUCGGGUUGUAAAGCACUUUUGUCCGGAAAGAAAUCCUCUGGGUUAAUACCUCGGGGGGAUGACGGUACCGGAAGAAUAAGCACCGGCUAACUACGUGCCAGCAGCCGCGGUAAUACGUAGGGUGCAAGCGUUAAUCGGAAUUACUGGGCGUAAAGCGUGCGCAGGCGGUUUUGUAAGACGGAUGUGAAAUCCCCGGGCUUAACCUGGGAACUGCAUUCGUGACUGCAAGGCUAGAGUAUGGCAGAGGGGGGUAGAAUUCCACGUGUAGCAGUGAAAUGCGUAGAGAUGUGGAGGAAUACCGAUGGCGAAGGCAGCCCCCUGGGCCAAUACUGACGCUCAUGCACGAAAGCGUGGGGAGCAAACAGGAUUAGAUACCCUGGUAGUCCACGCCCUAAACGAUGUCAACUAGUUGUUGGGGAUUCAUUUCCUUAGUAACGUAGCUAACGCGUGAAGUUGACCGCCUGGGGAGUACGGUCGCAAGAUUAAAACUCAAAUGAAUUGACGGGG